rnacentral:rRNA from 1 species
UACGGAAGGCAGCAGUGGGGAAUAUUGCACAAUGGGCGCAAGCCUGAUGCAGCCAUGCCGCGUGUAUGAAGAAGGCCUUCGGGUUGUAAAGUACUUUCAGUCGUGAGGAAGGUGUUAAGGUUAAUAACCUUAGCAAUUGACGUUAGCGACAGAAGAAGCACCGGCUAACUCCGUGCCAGCAGCCGCGGUAAUACGGAGGGUGCGAGCGUUAAUCGGAAUUACUGGGCGUAAAGGGCACGCAGGCGGUUAAUUAAGUUGGAUGUGAAAUCCCCGGGCUUAACCUGGGAAUGGCAUUCAAGACUGGUUAGCUAGAGUCUUGUAGAGGGGGUAGAAUUCCAUGUGUAGCGGUGAAAUGCGUAGAGAUGUGGAGGAAUACCGGUGGCGAAGGCGGCCCCUGGACAAAAGGACUGACGCUCAUGUGCGAAAAGCGUGGGGAGCAAACAGGGAUUAGAUACC